ACCAGCACAUGCGAAGAGUGCUGGCGGGAUUCAGCGCGUUUCAAGAGCACUGGUUCACUCCAUGUAGUUCAUCUAAAGCACUCCCCUCUUCAUUCAGCCAUCACUUGACAACGCAGACUCUUCAGAGGCCUGCCUGAUGCCCAUCAGCUUGAGGGACACGAGUCUUCAUCCUCCAUCACAGCACAAAGACAUCUGGAUGAUUGUCAAGGACGUCACAAUCUCUGUGAUAGCUGACAUAUCCCAUGGGGCAUUGCAGAAAAGGAAAGCGAAGUCACUCUUGCGUGAGCAAAUACAGUAUGGGAUUAAUGGGUACUGUAUGAGCUAGCCGUGGAUUCACAACUAUGCUCUUCUACAUGAUGGGGACCCUGGAUGACACUUGCACAGAUGCAAGUACCAAUCACAGAGAUUCAGUGUUUGUCUGAUGAAGCAUUGUUUCAAUAAUCUACUGCCCUCAGCCUGAGCUUUAGAGCCUCUCUCCCUUGUGUGACAGUUUUCAGGAAAAGAUGUUUUGCUCUUUAAUGGGUAGCUAAAAGCUGUAGAUUUACACUUCCACCUUUUAUUUAGAUGGUCAUAUCUUCUCCCCAUAGCCAACAGCAUAAACUAAUCCUGUAUUGCGUUUCAAUAUAAUUAUAUAUAGAAAUGGUGAUUACCCUCUAAUUCAAUUGCAUGGUAAUCAAAUUGUAGUAAUGGUGCUUAUUUGGUACCCCAAUUUAUAGUUUUCCCAGAAAUCAUUAAGCAAUUUACCCUUCAAAUCUACUUUGAAUAUGCGUUAGCACAGAAACAUGCGCAGACUAGUAUUAUGGUGUAUUAUAUGAAGCCCCAGCUGUUUGAGAUGAUGAUGGUAGCAGAAGGACUCUUGUGAGAGUCAUGGGUAAACAGAAAGAGUCCUGGCUGUCUUCUGGACACAGACUCCUUUCUGUUUGCCAGGAUUGGGAUAAAGAUGCUGGAAUCAGAAGACGGCACUGAAACAUAUCCAAAGUUUGAGCCACAUGUGUUUACCCUUAACCUCAACAAAGCCUGCUUCCGAAUGUCUGGAAUAUUGGCCUAUCGGUACAUUUUGGAAAACACUGUGAGGAAGGGCUAAAGUCUACAGAGCCUUUGCAAUCACACUUGUUUUGUUUGUGCCAUUUACUUGGUGCGUGACUGCAGCACGUCAAC